rnacentral:rRNA from 1 species
AAGAGCAUUUAUGUUAGGACCCGAAAGAUGGUGAAACUAUGCCUGAGUAGGGCAAAGUCAGAGGAAACUCUGAUGGAGGCUCGAAGGGGUUCUGACGUGCAAAUCGAUCUUCAAACUUGGGGUAUAGGGGGCGAAAGACUAAUCGAACCAUCGAGUAGCUGGUUCCCUCCGAAGUUUCCCUCAGGAUAGCUGGAACUUAUGAGAAAGUAGUUUUAUCAGGUAAAGCGAAUGAUUAGAGGCUUUGGGGAAGAAACUUCCUCGACCUAUUCUCAAACUUUAAAUAGGUAAGAUUUGGAGGAUACUUAAGUGAUCUUUCAAUACAUUGAAUAUCAAGUUCUUAGUGGGCCAUUUUUGGUAAGCAGAACUGGCGAUGUGGGAUGAACCGAACGUUAAGUUAAAGUGCCAAAUAAUACGCUCAUGAGAUACCAUAAAAGGUGUUGGUUCAUUUUGACAGCAGGACGGUGGCCAUGGAAGUCGGAACCCGCUAAGGAGUGUGUAACAACUCACCUGCCGAAUGAACUAGCCCUGAAAAUGGAUGGCGC